rnacentral:rRNA from 1 species
UCCGGUUGAUCCUGCCGGAGGCUACCGCUAUUGGAGUUCGAUUAAGCCAUGCGAGUCGCGAGAAAUUAGAUUCUCGGCGUACCGCUCAGUAACACGUGGGUAACCUGCCCUAUGCUGGAUAAUAACCUCGGGAAACUGAGAAUAAUGAUCCAUAGUUCACUACGCCUGGAACGGUGAGUGGAUGAAAGCUCCGGCGGCAUAGGAUGGGCCUGCGGCGUAUCAGGUUGUAGGGGGUGUAACGUACCCUCUAGCCCUCUACGCGUACGGGUGUUGGGAGACAUAGCCCGGAGAUGGAUUCUGAGACACGAAUCCAGACCCUACGGGGUGCAGCAGGCGCGAAAACUUGGCAAUGCGAGAAAUCGUGACCAGGGAACUCCAAGUGCAUCGGGUAAGACCGGUGCUUUUCUUGACUCUAAAUAGGUCUUGGAAUAAGGGGUGGGUAAGGACGGUGCCAGCCGCCGCGGUAAUACCGGCGCCUCAAGUGGUAGUCGCUUUUAUUGGGCCUAAAACGUCCGUAGCCGGUCUGAUACAUUCGUGGGUAAAUCAACCAGCUCAACUGGUUGAAUUCUGCGAGGACGGUCAGACUUGGGACCGGGAGAGGUGUGGGGUACGCUCAGGGUAGGGGUAAAAUCCUGUCAUCCUGAGCGGACCACCUGUUGCGAAGGCGCCACACUAGAACGGAUCCGACGGUCAGGGACGAAGCCUAGGGGCACGAACCGGAUUAGAUACCCGGGUAGUCCUAGGUGUAAACGCUGUGGACUUGAU